CCUACGGGAGGCAGCAGUGGGGAAUAUUGCACAAUGGGGGAAACCCUGAUGCAGCGACGCCGCGUGAGUGAAGAAGUAUCUCGGUACGUAAAGCUCUAUCAGCAGGGAAGAAAAUGACGGUACCUGACUAAGAAGCCCCGGCUAACUACGUGCCAGCAGCCGCGGUAAUACGUAGGGGGCAAGCGUUAUCCGGAUUUACUGGGUGUAAAGGGAGCGUAGACGGCAGCACAAGUCUGGAGUGAAAUCCCGGGGCUUAACCCCGGAACUGCUUUGGAAACUGUGCGGCUGGAGUGCAGGAGGGGUAAGCGGAAUUCCUAGUGUAGCGGUGAAAUGCGUAGAUAUUAGGAGGAACACCGGUGGCGAAGGCGACUUACUGGACUGUAACUGACGCUGAGGCAUGAGAGCAUGGGGAGCAAACAGGAUUAGAUACCCUUGUAGUC
rnacentral:rRNA from 1 species